rnacentral:rRNA from 1 species
UACGUAGGGGGCAAGCGUUGUCCGGAAUCAUUGGGCGUAAAGCGCGUGUAGGCGGCCCGAUAAGUCCGCUGUGAAAGUCCAGGGCUCAACCCUGGGAUGCCGGUGGAUACUGUCGGGCUCGAGUCCGGAAGAGGAGUGUGGAAUUCCUGGUGUAGCGGUGAAAUGCGCAGAUAUCAGGAGGAACACCGGUGGCGAAAGCGGCUCCCUGGUCCAGCACCGAACGUUCAGGCUACGGAAAGCGAUGGGGAAGCAAACAGGGGAUUAAGA